rnacentral:tRNA from 1 species
GGAACAGUACUCAAAAAUUUGAAGAGGCGGUCCUGCUAAGACUGUAGGGGAGGAUAACUCCCGCGGAGGUUCAAAUCCUCUCUGUUCCA